rnacentral:rRNA from 1 species
CCUACGGGAGGCAGCAGUGGGGAAUAUUGGGCAAUGGGCGAAAGCCUGACCCAGCAACGCCGCGUGAAGGAAGAAGGCUUUCUGGUUGUAAACUUCUUUUGACAGGGAAGAGCAGCAGACGGUACCUGUCGAAUAAGCCACGGCGAACGACGAGCGCGCAGCCGAGGUGAUACGUAGGGGGCAAGCGUUGGCCGGAUUUUCUGGGUGUAAAGGGCGUGUAGCCGGGCUGACAAGUCAGAUGUGAAAUCCGGGGGCUCCACCCCCGAACUGCAUUUGAAACUGUUGGUCUUGAGUAUCGGUGAGGCAGUCGGAAUUCCUAGUGUAGCGGUGAAAUGCGUAGAUAUUAGGAGGAACACCAGUGGCGACGGCGGCCUGCUGGACGACAACUGACGGUGAGGCGCGAAAGCGUGGGGAGCAAACAGGAUUAGAUACCCUGGUAGUC